rnacentral:rRNA from 1 species
AUUGAACGCUGGCGGCAUGCUUUACACAUGCAAGUCGAACGGUAACAGGUUAAGCUGACGAGUGGCGAACGGGUGAGUAAUGCAUCGGAACGUGCCCGAUCGUGGGGGAUAACGCAGCGAAAGCUGCGCUAAUACCGCAUACGAUCUGAAGAUGAAAACGGGGGACCGUAAGGCCUCGCGCGGUCGGAGCGGCCGAUGUCAGAUUAGGUAGUUGGUGGGGUAAAGGCCCACCAAGCCGACGAUCUGUAGCUGGUCUGAGAGGACGACCAGCCACACUGGGACGAAGACACGGCCCAGACUCCUACGGGAGGCAGCAGUGGGGAAUUGUGGACAAUGGGCGAAAGCCUGAUCCAGCAAUGCCGCGUGCAGGAAGAAGGCCUUCGUGUUGUAAACUGCUUUUGUACGGAGCGAAAAGGUCCUUUCUAAUACAAGGGGCUCAUGACGGUACCGUAAGAAUAAGCACCGGCUACUACGUGCCAGCCGCCGCCGUAA